CCGCUUCUCUCCCGCAGCAGCGGCGGGACCCAGGGGCAGGAGCAGCUGUGGGGCAGCGGCAGAGGAGUGGGCUUUAGAAAUCGGAGCAUCACAAGCACAUGGAAAAUAUUUCCCAGCUACAGUGUGAAGAAACUAAGCAGGAGGGACUUUUCCAAAUCACCAUCUGCCUAAGGGAAGAGACAGCACAGAGCUGCACUAUUCCUGGACCAAAGAAAGGACCAGUUAGUUACCAGGUCUUCCUUGCUCUCCGCAGAAAGUUAUCACAGCCCAUCUCAGGAGGUUUGCUCCUGCACUGCCUUGUUAAUGCUACCAGUGGCUUUAAUAAAGGCAUAAGCAAAUUUC